GCAAAUUAUUUCAAACCUGUCCACAACGGACCCUGAAAAGGUCUGCACAAUCCUCCACCAAAUGAUAGCAGAUGUUCCAGAAGUGCCACCGAAUUUUUACUACGGCCAAAUGGAGGAUACAUCACCGAUUUACAUCAAGCAGUGGUGCCUUUUCAGACGCUAUGUGUACUUCGAAUAUUUCCGCCAAGGAAUGGACGUGAACGGUGUUAACUUGCUAAUAGAAACCAAGCUUAAUAAACUUUUAGAUGCACUCUGAUGAUGGACACACAGCCUGAUCUGGUCAUCCUGAAUUGCAUUUCUUUCUUUGCUUGGGACCAUGGUCCUCGAGCCUGUGUCACACGUGUGUUGAAAUGACACAGUUCUCUAAAUAAAAUGUACUUCUUGUCAAUAA
rnacentral:lncRNA from 1 species